UACGUAGGGGGCAAGCGUUGUCCGGAUUCAUUGGGCGUAAAGAGCUCGUAGGCGGCUUGGCAAGUCGGGUGUGAAAACUUCAGGCUCAACCUGGAGCGGCCACUCGAUACUGCCAUGGCUAGAGUCCGGUAGGGGACCACGGAAUUCCUGGUGUAGCGGUGAAAUGCGCAGAUAUCAGGAGGAACACCAAUGGCGAAGGCAGCUCGCUGGGACGUGACUGACGCUGAGACGCGAAAGCGUGGGGAGCAAACAGG
rnacentral:rRNA from 1 species